rnacentral:tRNA from 1 species
GCCCCUAUAGCUCAGUUGGUAGAGCGGCUGAUUUGUAAUCAGUAGGUCGGGAGUUCGAGUCUCUCUGGGGGCACCA